rnacentral:rRNA from 1 species
UACGAAGGGGGCUAGCGUUGUUCGGAAUCACUGGGCGUAAAAGCGCACGUAGGCGGAUUGUUAAGUCGGGGGGUGAAAUCCUGAGGCUCAACCUCAGAACUGCCUCCGAUACUGGCAAUCUCGAGUUCGGAAGAGGUCGGUGGAACAGCUAGUGUAGAGGUGAAAUUCGUAGAUAUUAGCUAGAACACCAGUGGCGAAGGCGGCCGACUGGUCCGACACUGACGCUGAGGUGCGAAAGCGUGGGGGAGCAAACAGG